rnacentral:rRNA from 1 species
CGUAACCGGGCUGAAGUCGUACCGUAAGGAGCGGUGGACUGGUUACGAGUGAGAAUGUUGGCAUCAGUAGCGAGAUGUGGGUGAGAAUCCCACAGGCCGAAAACCUAAGGUUUCCUCAGGAAGGUUCGUCCGCUGAGGGUUAGUCGGGACCUAAGCCGAGGCCGAAAGGCGUAGGUGAUGGACAACUGGUUGAUAUUCCAGUACCACUACCAUCGUUAUUAUCGAUGGCGUGACGCAGGAGGAUAGUGUGUGCUAGCUAUUGGAUGCUAGUCUAAGCGUUUAGGCAGUGAGAGUAGGCAAAUCCGCUCUCAUAAUGCUGAGGCGUGAUGGGGAAGGUUCCACGGAACCGAAGUACAUGAUUCCACGCUGCCAAGAAAAGCGUCUAGAGAGAGAAGUAGUGCCCGUACCGCAAACCGACACAGGUAGGUGAGGAGAGAAUCCUAAGGCCGGCGGAAGAAUUACAGUUAAGGAACUCGGCAAAUUGACCCCGUAAGUUCGCGAGAAGGGGUGCCUACGAGAGUAGGCCGCAGAGAAUAGGCCCAAGCAACUGUUUAGCAAAAACACAGGUCUCUGCUAAAGCGUAAGCUGAUGUAUAGGGGCUGACGCCUGCCCGGUGCUGGAAGGUUAAGGGGAACACUUAGCGCAAGCGAAGGUGUGAACUUAAGCCCCAGUAAACGGCGGCCGUAACUAUAACGGUCCUAAGGUAGCGAAAUUCCUUGUCAGGUAAGUUCUGACCCGCACGAAUGGCGUAAUGACUUGGGCACUGUCUCAACUGUAAAUCCGGCGAAGUUGUAGUGCGAGUGAAGAUGCUCGCUACCCGCGAUUGGACGGAAAGACCCCGUAGAGCUUUACUGUAGCUUAGCAUUGAGUUUUGGUAUUGUCUGUACAGGAUAGGUGGGAGACUAGGAAACCAGGGCGUCAGCCUUGGUGGAGUCAACCUUGGGAUACCACCCUGACAGUACUGAAAUUCUAACUGGCGGCCAUGAAUCUGGUCACAGGACAUUGUUAGGUGGGCAGUUUGACUGGGGCGGUCGCCUCCUAAAAAGUAACGGAGGCGCCCAAAGGUUCCCUCAGAACGGUCGGAAAUCGUUCGAAGAGUGCAAAGGCAGAAGGGAGCCUGACUGCGACACCCACAAGUGGAGCAGGGACGAAAGUCGGGCUUAGUGAUCCGGUGGUACCUCGUGGGAGGGCCAUCGCUCAACGGAUAAAAGCUACCUCGGGGAUAACAGGCUGAUCUCCCCCAAGAGUCCACAUCGACGGGGAGGUUUGGCACCUCGAUGUCGGCUCGUCGCAUCCUGGGGCUGAAGUAGGUCCCAAGGGUUGGGCUGUUCGCCCAUUAAAGCGGCACGCGAGCUGGGUUCAGAACGUCGUGAGACAGUUCGGUCCCUAUCCGUCGCGGGCGUAGGAAAUUUGAGAGGAGCUGUCCUUAGUACGAGAGGACCGGGAUGGACUGACCUCUGGUGUACCAGUUGUUCCGCCAGGAGCACAGCUGGGUAGCUAAGUCGGGAAUGGAUAAACGCUGAAAGCAUCUAAGCGUGAAGCCAACCUCAAGAUGAGAUUUCCCAUAGCGUAAGCUAGUAAGAUCCCUUGAAGAACACAAGGUUGAUAGGUCG